ensembl:lncRNA
CCAAGUCACAGAGCUCAUAAGUGAAGAAGUCAGGAUUUUCUUUUUUUGUCCCACUGUGGUUUCUUUUCUUUUUUUUUUCCCAGAGUGUGAAAGUGAAAGUGUUAGUUGCUCAGUCGUGUCUAACUUUUUGCGACCCCAUGGACUAUACCUCUGUCCGUGGGAUUCUCCAGGCAAUAAUACUGGAGUGGGUUGCCAUUCCCUUCUCCAGGGGAUCUUCCCCACCCAGGGAUUGAAUCCCUGGUAUCCUGCAUUGCAGGCAGAUUCUUUACCAUCAGAGCCACAUGGGCCUCUUAUUGGAGUAUAGGUGAUUUAAAAUGCUGCAUUUGUUCCACAGUUGAACUGUGGUGAUGGCUGCUGCUACUGCUGCUAAGUCGCUUCAGUCGUGUCCGACUCUGUGCGACCCCAUAGACGGCAGCCCACCAGGCUCCUCCGUCCCUGGGAUUCUCCAGGCAAGAACACUGGAAUGGUGAUGGCUACCUUUAGUCAAAAUUCAUAGAAACAGACAAAAGAGAGAGUCCAGAGUGACGUGAACUCCACGUGGAUUUGCUCAGAGGUGACCAGGUCUGGCUCCUCCUGCGAAGCCCAGACCCCGGGCUCUGGAACAGACAGGAGGCGCUCUGGCCAGCUCUGGUUUCCCAGCAAGCACUCACUUAGUGCUGAAGGACUGCUCCUUGGGGUAUACUUUGAAACCCACUACAAAAACACUGUGUGCUGGAAUUGUAUGGGCUUCCCAGAUGACGCUAGAGGUAAAGAACCCGC